GACGAACGCUGGCGGCGUGCUUAACACAUGCAAGUCGAGCGGAGCGGCGCACACGUGAGUAACGCGUGUGUAACUGCCCCCCCCUCUGUGAUAACAGUUGGAAACGGCUGCUAAUACCGGUUAGUGGGGGAUGACUCGCGUCCUAUCCGCUUGUUGGUGGGGUAGUGGCCUACCAAGGCGACGCCGGGUAGCCGGCCUGAGAGGGCGACCGGCCACAUUGGGAGGAGAUACGGCCCAAACUCCUACGGGAGGCAGCAGUGGGGAAUAUUGAACAAUGGGGGAAACCCUGAUGCAGCAACGACGCGUGCGGGAUGACGGCCUUCGGGUUGUAAACCGCUUUCAGCCAUGACGCGGUAGUGGCAGAAGAAGCACCGGCUAACUACGUGCCAGCAGCCGCGGUAAUUC
rnacentral:rRNA from 1 species